CCAUUUGGGCCAGCCCGUUUGGGCUUUUCUUUCAUUUGACCUCUGAAGGGCUUUUUGAACCUUGUGUCAUUUAUUUUUCUCACAAGACUUUUAGUUCAGUAAUAAGGGACCCCUUAAGGUUUAUCUGAGUGCAUUUACUAAGAUUCUCUCUGAUUUAGUAUCUGGAAGUUCUUUGCUUUGAUGAGUUUACUUCGAAUGUCAUGCCCUUCUAUUUCAUAUCCUUUAUCAUCUCAGCAACUUUUUUUUUUCAGUCCAAUACAUUUUUUCCCUGUCGCGUUGGUUAGAUAGCUUAUUGAAUAGUUAAUACAUGCAUCAAGUUAUAUGGUGCAUCCCCUGGUUCUUGCCAUAGCUUAUAUUGCUCUUAGACAGUUAAUGUUUCUUCUUAUUAUUAGUCUACAGCUGCUGUCAUUUCCAUUUCUAACUAGCAACUUCUUGUGGUUGCAAGGUUUCAUUGUUUUGUUGAACCUCGUUGUAACAGGAACUCCACCUGAAAAUGAAGGGAGGAAAGGGAAAAGGGGCAACAAAGAAGGAAACUAAGGAAGUACUGAAGCUAGCUGAUGACAGGAAGGUUGGGAAACGCAAGGCUGCUAUUAAGGCAGAUAAGAGUAGCAAAAGACAGGCCAAGAAGGAAAAAAAGGCC